UGGGAGCUGGUGCAACGGCAGCAUGGCGGUCUCCAAAACCGCAGAUCGGGGUUCGAAUCCCCGGCGCCCCGCAA
rnacentral:tRNA from 1 species